rnacentral:rRNA from 1 species
CAGACGGGUGAGGAACACGUAGGAAUCUACCUCUAGGCCGGGCAUAGCCAUCCGAAAGGAUGGGUAAUUCCCGAUAGUCCCGCAAGGGUAAAGUCGUAAGACACCAAGAGAGGAGCCUGCGUCCUAUCAGCUAGUUGGUGGGGUAAUAGCCUACCAAGGCGAUGACGGGUAGCUGGACUGAGAGGUCGAUCAGCCACAACUGCACUGAGACACGGGCAGU